AAGUCGAACGAAGUAGCAAUACUUAGUGGCAGACGGGUGAGUAACAUGUGGGUAUCUUCCCUUUGGCCUGGAAUAACACGAGGAAACUUGUGCUAAUACCGGAUAAGUCUUUACGGAGAAAGCUUUAUGCACCAUUGGAUGAGCCCGCACUUGAUUAGUUUGUUGGUAGGGUAAUGGCCUACCAAGACUGUGAUCAAUAGCUGAUUUGAGAGGAUGAUCAGCCACAUUGGGACUGAGACACGGCCCAAACUCCUACGGGAGGCAGCAGUGGGGAACCUUGCACAAUGGAGGAAACUCUGGUGCAGCGAUGCCGCGUGAGUGAAGAAGGCCCUUGGGUUGUAAAGCUCUUUCGUCGGGAAGAAAAUGACUGUACCCGAAUAAGAAGGUCCGGCUAACUUCGUGCCAGCAGCCGCGGUAAUACGAAGGGACCUAGCGUAGUUCGGAAUUACUGGGCUUAAAGAGUUCGUAGGUUGUUGAAAAAGUUGGUGGUGAAAUCCCAGAGCUUAACUCUGGAACUGCCAUCAAAACUUUUCAGCUAGAGUUUGAUAGAGGAAAGCAGAUUUUCUAGUGUAGAGG
rnacentral:rRNA from 1 species